GAUGAACGCUGGCGGCGUGCCUAAUACAUGCCAGUCGAGCGAACGGACGAGAAGCUUGCUUCUCUGAUGUUAGCGGCGGACGGGUGAGUAACACGUGGAUAACCUACCUAUAAGACUGGGAUAACUUCGGGAAACCGGAGCUAAUACCGGAUAAUAUUUUGAACCGCAUGGUUCAAAAGUGAAUGACGGCCUUGCUGUCACUUAUAGCUGGAUCCGCGCUGCAUUAGCUAGUUGGUAAGGUAACGGCUUACCAAGGCAACGAUGCAUAGCCGACCUGAGAGGGUGAUCGGCCACACUGGAACUGAGACACGGUCCAGACUCCUACGGGAGGCAGCAGUAGGGAAUCUUCCGCAAUGGGCGAAAGCCUGACGGAGCAACGCCGCGUGAGUGAUGAAGGUCUUCGGAUCGUAAAACUCUGUUAUUAGGGAAGAACAUAUGUGUAAGUAACUGUGCACAUCUUGACGGUACCUAAUCAGAAAGCCACGGCUAACUACGUG
rnacentral:rRNA from 1 species